GACAGAGGGUGCAAACGUUGUUCGGAAUUACUGGGCGUAAAGCGAGUGUAGGCGGUCUGAAAAGUCGGAUGUGAAAGCCCCGGGCUCAACCCGGGAAGUGCAUUCGAAACUGCCAGGCUAGAGUGUCGGAGAGGUUGGUGGAAUUCUCGGUGUAGAGGUGAAAUUCGUAGAUAUCGAGAGGAACACCGGUGGCGAAGGCGGCCAACUGGACGAACACUGACGCUGAGACUCGAAAGCGUGGGGAGCAAAC
rnacentral:rRNA from 1 species